UCUCUGUUUUCCCUCUUCAAGUUUUCCCUAAAAUAAAAUUCCCUCUAUUUUCUUCAAGAAUCAAACUCCUUGUUCUUUUCUCAACCAACCACAAACCCUAAACUCUCUCCUUGUCCUUCACUCUCAGGUCUACAACUUUUCUCUAUGAUCUGCGACGCUCCACUCUCGUCGAACUUAACCGUCUCUCAUUGAUUUGUGUCUUCUUCGAUCUACGUAUAUCCGUUGUGUUUCUUGUUGCAUCGAUAUUUGAUUCGCGCAAAUCUGUCACUCCCAAAAUCGAUCCCUCAAUCUUCAACCACAGCUCUGGUCACACCGUUAAAGCUAUUCCCGACCUCGCUGUCAUUGUUGUGUUGCGCCACUUCUUACCUACUUUCUCAGGCAUUUUCUAAAACUAGCAGUAAUUUAUAAUGACACUUGGAAAUCUCUCUCUGCUUUGUUCUAUUUGAGUGUGUUCGUUCAAGGAUUUGUAUUUGUAUUUCUGAUUUAAUCUCUCGUACAUUUGCAAGUAACUGAGAAGCUUGACUGCUUUUUUUUUUGCUAUUUAAUUUGUUUCUUAUUUUCGAAGUUGUGAUUGUGUUUGAGAAAUUGCUUGCUAACUUGUGCAUGUGUGUUGUUGCAUUGAAGCAAAGAUCUUGUUUUUUUUUUUACUGGAUUUUUCCUUUUUGUUGAGUGAAUCCAUUGAUUUUGUUUAUGCCCGUGUUCAUUUGGUUGGUAAUAAAAAUAAUAGAACAAUUUACAGCAUACAUAUUGGAGUAUUGAUAAAUAUUUUGAACAGUUUGAUUUUGAUAGUUUUACAAGAACAAAACAUAAUUUACUUUAUGUCCCCUUUUUUUAACUUGUUUUUACUAAUUCAACAUGUUUUUGGAGUUUAGGAAAAACUAGAUGUUAUCGGUGAGGUUUUGGGACUUUUGUUCGUUUCUCCGGUAAUUUUCUAAUAAUUCUUGUUUCAUAGCAAUUUUAGCAGUUUGAUUUUGCUAUGGAAUUUCUCUGAUUUUGUUGUAUGAUUUUGCUAUGGAUUUAGCUGAUUUAGUAGUUCUUUCAAUCUGCAAUUAUACAUUCGAAUAUUAUUUUGGUUGAGAAAACAACUCUAAUUUGCGAUCGUGCUUGUGUUUACAAUUCUCUAUGACUGUAACUGCGUUCACAUUUUUUAGAUACAAUAACCAUGAUAGGAAAAUAGUUGUAAUUCUUUAAGUUCUUAAUUAUAACAGACAAGUUAUUAAUUAAAGUUGUGGUUUAAUUUGAGUUUAAUUAAAGUUGUGGUUUAAUUUGAGUUUAAUUAAAGAGGAGUAUUAGCUACAGAAGUUCUUAAUUAAAGCUCUUAAUUUAUUUAUCAUAUGUUAGAGAAGUUUUUAUUAAAUAGUUGAUUCAGUGAAGUUUGGUUUUAGUAUCUUAUCAUCUGGUUAUUUAGAUUCUUCACUAGUCACGUCUUUCAUCUUUGUGUAAUGUUACCAUCAAAUAGCUCUACAUUGGACUAUUACCUGGCUAUUAGGAAAAUAGGCAAGUUGUGACAUUUCUCAUCUUUGUUAGUUGUUACCAUCAUACAUGGACCAUUCAUUCUCGUGUAAUGUAAUAUUUUUAAUUUCAUAUAGUUCUUGCAUUUGAAAGGAGACAGAAAGGACUAUGAUUUUGUAAAAUCAAUUCUCUCAGCAUAAGGAUUUGAUGUUGUUGAUGACAUAAAUGGAAGAGAGGGAGAGGAAGUUGAGCCCAUAAUUGAUGCUUUUCCUAAUCUGGAAUAAUUGACGCAGUUGAUCCUAACAGCAGGCACAAGAGAAAGCUUGAAAACAGAAAGCUUGUUGCAAUCAAAGGAUGUUAAUUGGACUUCUAUAAGGAAAGUGUAUAUCUAUGGACCCUUGAGCUACAAUCCUGUUGAAGAAUGUUAAGUUAUGACAGGAUUUGGCAACAGCCUUCGUGAAUGUUCAUGGAAAUGAUAAGGCCAACAAGCCUUCAUUAUUUUCAAAGAGGUAGUUGAGGCUAUGACAUAGGUUUUCUUGUAAAUUGUGUAUAUUUUGGUUCUAAUUAAUAAACUUGAAUUGGUUAGUAAUGAAAUAAGUGUCAAUCACAUAAAAAUUGCUUGUUUUUAGAGUAAUAUCAUAGUUUACUUGUUUUCAAAUUUUAUUGAGACUUUUGGAUUUAACCAUGUUGGUCAUAUAUAUGAAGAAGUAAUUUUUAACAUGUCAA